GCAGGGGUUCUCUCGGUGAGAGUUGCUCUAAUGGAAUCGAACUACAACCUUUGAAAAUUGAGCUUCUGGCGUGGAGCUCCGGCGAGGGACCCGUCGAACUUGGGGUCCCAUGAGCUCGAGUUAGUCCCGUUAGAAACUCAGGAAAUCGUUUCACUCCGCCUAGAUAGCCGCCUAGACCGCCCAGGCCGCCUAAGAACGCCUAGGCGGGCGCCUAACAGCUCCCCGAUUUUUCUUAACGAUUCGGACCUAAUCGCCUCGGCACACCUCCGCCCAGUGCCUAGGCGGCCGCCUAGGCCGAUUUUUAGAACACUGG